AGCUCAGUUGGUAGAGCGGUCCAUCGAAAAUGGAGAGGUCCCGGGUUCGAUACCCGG
rnacentral:tRNA from 1 species